GUGGGGAAUAUUGCACAAUGGGCGCAAGCCUGAUGCAGCAACGCCGCGUGAGGGAUGACGGCCUUCGGGUUGUAAACCUCUUUUAGCAGGGAAGAAGCGAAAGUGACGGUACCUGCAGAAAAAGCGCCGGCUAACUACGUGCCAGCAGCCGCGGUAAUACGUAGGGCGCAAGCGUUGUCCGGAAUUAUUGGGCGUAAAGAGCUCGUAGGCGGUUUGUCGCGUCUGCUGUGAAAUCCCGAGGCUCAACCUCGGGCCUGCAGUGGGUACGGGCAGACUAGAGUGCGGUAGGGGAGAAUGGAACUCCUGGUGUAGCGGUGGAAUGCGCAGAUAUCAGGAAGAACACCAAUGGCGAAGGCAGUUCUCUGGGCCGUAACUGACGCUGAGGAGCGAAAGCAUGGGGAGCGAACAGGAUUAGAAACCCGGGUAGUCC
rnacentral:rRNA from 1 species